rnacentral:misc_RNA from 1 species
AAGUCGUAACAAGGUUUCCGUAGGUGAACCUGCGGAAGGAUCAUUAACACGUAUCCACGUAUCAACCCCAUGUGCUCUUUUGGUCUCGUACCCUGCCAGUGCAGAGAAAGUUGGAUAGAAUGAGGUCGAAUGGUGAGGGGGGAAGAGAGUCAAAUCUCUUCGCCUCGUGGCUCUGUUCUAUCUGUGUGCUUUCUCGCUUUUAUGCUGGUCAGGCUUGUGUUCUUUUCACCAUUGGAAUCAAACCUUUUUUAAACAUUUAAACCCCUAGUACCAUUUGUUACUGAAUCAAUGUUUAAAGCAGAACCUCGUGUUCUUGUUUUAAAUAACGAUACGAAACGCUUGACAACUCUUAGCAACGGAUAUCUUGGCUCUCGUAACGAUGAAGAAAGC